rnacentral:rRNA from 1 species
GACGAACGCUGGCGGCGUGCUUAACACAUGCAAGUCGAACGGAAAGGCCCUGCUUGCAGGGUACUCGAGUGGCGAACGGGUGAGUAACACGUGGGUGAUCUGCCCUGCACUUCAGGAUAAGCCUGGUAAACUGGGUCUAAUACCGGAUAGGAGCCAUUUUUAGUGUGAUGGUUGGAAAGUUUUUUCGGUGUAGGAUGAGCUCGCGGCCUAUCAGCUUGUUGGUGGGGUAAUGGCCUACCAAGGCGGCGACGGGUAGCCGGCCUGAGAGGGUGGACGGCCACAUUGGGACUGAGAUACGGCCCAGACUCCGACGGGAGGCAGCAGUGGGGAAUAUUGCACAAUGGGCGCAAGCCUGAUGCAGCGACGCCGCGUGGGGGAUGACGGCCUUCGGGUUGUAAACUCCUUUCGCUAGGGACGAAGCUUUUUGUGACGGUACCUAGAGAAGAAGCACCGGCUAACUACGUG